GCCCGAGUGGCGGAAUGGUAGACGCAGGGGAUUCAAAAUCCCCCGCCGCGAGGCGUGCCGGUUCGAGUCCGGCCUUGGGUACCA
rnacentral:tRNA from 4 species